rnacentral:rRNA from 1 species
UACGGGGGGAGCAAGCGUUGUUCGGAUUUACUGGGCGUAAAGGGCGCGCAGGCGGUCCUUCAAGUCAGAUGUGAAAGCCCCGGGCUCAACCUGGGAACUGCAUUUGAGACUGGAGGACUUGAGUUCGGGAGAGGAUGGUGGAAUUCCGAGUGUAGAGGUGAAAUGCGUUGAUAUUGGAAGGAACGCCGGAGGCGAAAGCGGCGCACUGGAUCUCUACUGACGCUGAGGCGCGAAAGCCAGGGGAGCAAACGGG